AUAAAACCCCUCACUGUCUCAAUUCCUCUUUUCCUUCAACAGCUGAAGCACACAAAAAGGACAAGGGUAUUUCAGAUCAAUCCCAAGUGUUGGUUCUUGAUGAUUAUUGGUAAAUUAUGCCUCCUAAUGAAAGAAACCCUUGUCAAAGUUUAACUCCUGACGUCCUCACUGACCUUCCUAAUGAUGUAAUCGAUAGCAUUCUGAUACGGUUGCCUUCUGAAGAAGCUGUGAGGACAAGCAUCUUAUCUAAAAGGUGGAGGUAUCACUGGUGUCGACUUACAAAGUUGACACUAAAUAGGUCUCUUUGGAG
rnacentral:misc_RNA from 1 species